AUUCUCCAAAUCAAACUUGCGUUUUGGUUUCUUUUAAAAAUUGGACUAUUUGUAGUAGGCUAUCUUCGUGAAGUUCUUUUAAAAUUUCCGGUAGAGGUUUCAUGUGUUCUAUUAUUAGAUAGUUGCUUCUAGUGGUGUUGUAUUUAUGGCAAUUGUACAAUACGUGAUUUAGAUCUUCUGUCUCUCCGCAGGUUUCACAUUCGUCGUUGCUUUCUAGGCCCCACUUGGCUCUUCUUUCUUUGGUGAGAGCAUGCCCACUUCGGAUACGAUUAAGAAUUUUGAUUUGAUUGGGUUUUAGGACUAGAUCUUUAAACCAUGCUGCCCUUCCAGGAUGCCAGGUGGUUUCGUCAAAAAUCAGGACGACGCGAAGUACAAAAUCAGGUUUUUUCAAGACACUUCUUGAUUCAUGAAAACAAUAAGGAUUUCUGCCUAGAUUGCAUAAAUAAAGGCGUAAUACAGGUGCUGAAAACGCCUUGAUUUAUGCAACAACAGUACACAACUUGUUGGCUGGCCGGUAGUUCAUAUCGAAAACCACAAUUCAAGUAUCAUCUGAACCGAAGGUUACCAUCUGUUAAAUGGGUUUAACUAUUUUAUAACCUAUUUAUUCGGUUUCCUCAUAAAUUAAACAAGGUGGGUUCCAGCUACAGGUAAGCUGAGAGUGUCUAGAGGUAAGACAGGUAAAAAGGUAAGAUUAUUUUACCAUACAAAUAUUACAUUGAUUGAGUAUAUUAAGAACGUACAAAAAGUUGCCAGCUGGGCAGGUAUCUACACGGAUGCGGAAUACCUGUCGUAGAUUCUUAACUCUAAAUAUGUUAUGAAUUUUAUACGGCUGCGAAACAGUUUGCUCGUUCUACAAGUAAGACAUACACCUACACGAAACAUUUUCAUUUCAUGUCAGUUCACACGAAGCCAUGGUGUCGGGUAUGUGAUGAUUUGCAUUGAAGAUUGGCCGAACUAAAAAUCUAAAGGAUGCAAAUUAACGCAUACGUUGGCGAAACUGCGGUGAAUCCGUGCACCCAUGGUGGAUUAUCUACAUACAUACAUACACGGAAAAAAAUUGCAUGGGCUUUUAAAAUACAGAGUCAUGAUAAUUUUACUAUAUCCAUCAUUUAGUAUUUUCAACCAUGAUUUAGUAUUUUUUACCGAAAAUCUGGGCGAUAAUACUACGAAAUAGUAUUUUUACUAUGCGAACUUUGACAGCUCAUAGUAAUUUUCUCGUGUCUUAAUUACCAUGCGCAUGAUAUUUUGAUGUUACUCAAUUCGUGUUCUUGAAAUUACUAUGCCCAUGGUAAUGUUGAAACACCGUCAUUUGUGUUGUCAAAAAUACUAUGCGCAUUAUAAUUCAUAGUAAUUUUACUAUGUGCUUCGUUCGAGUGUUUGUUUUUUACGGGUCAGCCGUUCGCGAUUUCGGAACGCGAACAAAAAUUAUCGGAUUGUCGGUUUGUCGGAUCGGGAAAUGUAUUCCCUCAGAUUUCCCAGAUUGUGUCGUCGACCAGCUGGAAAGGUUCUCAACGAGCUCUGAACCAACGCACCCGGAGCGGGACAGCAGAUUAGUCUGGUCGGAAAUUUUUCAGUGUCGGUGAAUGCGCUCGAGUUCCUCAACCUCCCUCGAUUUCGGAAAUUGGACAACGUCGGAGGACAUUGUGACGAAAGCUGCUAACCGGUGAGAUGGCCCACUGUUUGCGGAACGCAAUUUCAGUACAUCUGCCGGGCCGUUAAAUGCAGGCUUUCGGACGCUAAGUGUGAUGCAACCCCUGUGUCCCAUUCGUGGGUGGUGCAGGUGCUACCACCAUGAAUUGAACUAUAAUGAAAAAUAAUUUAAUUAAAUAAAAAUUUUAAUUUGGAACAAAUGAAUUUUAUUUCGAGGUCUUUAUACAAUGCCGCAUGGUAAUUUUGUGAUGUCUGUACCAACACGUGAAAAGGAUCUAUCUCCAAAAGUAAACAAAAUCCAUUUUCAGUACCUCUUGAUAGGCCAACAUUUGCACUACUUAACGGUAAAACCCUUUUCAGAAAAUAUUAUUCCGUUACAUUAAAAACUCAAUUUGAGUAAAGGAUCUAUAAACAUUCUGAAGCCAGAACAGCCGUGACAUUGAUAUACACCCUUUACUCCGGAACAUUUUUUCGUUACUACUUCGCACACAAACUCAAAAUAAUCAAUUUGACUCUUUAUUCAACAUUAAAACAUAGUUGCAAAUGUAUGCGAGCUUAUAACUAAAGCUAAAAAUAAGAAAAUAGCAAAGGGUGUAUAAACAGGUUAGACAAAACAUGACGUGAGCAAGGUUCUAUCUACGAUAGCGCGUUGGUUUUCCAUGAAAAUUGAUAUUCCUCUAUUCUAACAUAUAGAGAAUGCUUCUUAAAAUGGUUUGUCUUGCAUAAAAAGCAAAAAUUUCAAGUGAUUUUCAAUAAGGGAUUUAAAAUAGGUUGUAUUUUUAUCAAACGCGCUUUUCUCGAUCCCCAUAUAUGGAGAUCGAUCCUUUUUAUGUGUUGGUAAAGAUUUAACACUUUAUUCAACAUAUAAACAUAGUUGCAAAUGAACGCGAGCUUAAAACUAAAGCUAGAAAUGAAAAAAUAGCAAAGGGUGUAUAAACAAGGGAAACAAAAUAUUAAGUAAGCUAGGUUCUAUCUACGAUAGCGCAUUGGUUUUUCCUGAAAAUUGAUAUUCCUCUAUUCUCACAUGUAGGGGAUGCUUCUAAAAAUCGUUUGUCUUUCAUAAAAAGUAAAAAUUUCAAGUGAUUUUUAAUUAGCGAUUUAAAAUAGGUAGUAUUUUUUUCAAACGCGUUUUUCUCGAUUCGCCAUAUAUGGAGAUACAUCCUUUUCACGUGUUGGUACAGAUGUAUAUCAUGAUAGGUGUGGCAUUCUAAGCUAUAGGCUAUAAUAACCAUCCAAUAGACCGAUCUAAGAUAAGCGUGCAGCGAGCGGAUAAACUCGAUGAACAAGCUCAACGAGUCAGUUAUCGAAGGACCUUCACACGAGCCAGGCAAGAUUGCACAUUGGCGAUUCAAGCCAGGAUUGAAUUGUUCUUGGUGUACGGAGGCAGUGGGGCCGGCCGAUUCAAAUCUGUCUGUCGACUCUUUUGGGAUGAAAAUUUUGUUCAAGGUGCCUGUGUUAUUUUUAAGUUUGUCAAAAAGAAAUAGAACGAGAAAUGUGUUUUCGUCAGAAUCUUUUGUGUAGUUUUGUUCCCUACUGGAGUGUAUUAAAACAGGUGAGAAAAUCCCGCAUAAUCAAGUAUCAUACACUAAAUCGUUAAUAUUAUUCUGUUCUGAUUACAUGAAUAGUUAUUAUUCGAGUAAUCGUUCUUAAAUCUUCUAAUCUUAAGCUAAUUUUUCUGCUUUUCAUGCGUCUUUGCUAGAUAUGAUAAAAAAAUAUAUUUGAAAGAUACAGGUAAUAAUCCUGAAAUCCAAACUCGUGAUACAACUGAGUGUGUCAUGUGUCUUCACUCAACAAAACAAAACAAAAAUGGCGCGUGUGGUUGAAGUGAGCAGAAGCUUGCAGAUCAAAAUCGCAGAUCUUUUUCGCCGAAAGCUGGGAAAUACGUUUUCCGGUGGAGAACCGUAGCGGCGAAAUCGUCGAAGAGGAAGUCGACAAAACGUCCGGCCUAGUUUCUCAGCCACGAUUGCGACCACGAAACAGCUGCUUCCGCUGGAAGAGCAGAAGCUACCAUUCGAAUUCAUUCCCAUCAUCACCACACAGUAGGAAGUUUAUUUUUCUUCUCCCACGGCACAAGAGCACCCGACAGCCGACGUGGCACAGCGGUCACAAUUGGUCAGGGAAGAUAUGCUGAUGGCUCGAAUGUUCGCCGAAACAAAUCAUAACCAAACAGAAUGCGUACUUUCUUGCUGUGAUUUCGUGUCCCAAACCAAACGGAACCAGUUUUUUCUAUUAUAAAAUAUGCUCCGGUAAAAAAGUGCCAGAGUCAACAUGGAUACGUGGAUACUAACACUUCCGGCAUUCUGUCGAAUCCGGGCCAGUGGAAACGACGAGAAAUUCUGCGGUUGAAAUCGCUCAAAAACAGAAAGCUCUGCAGGCACGUCUUCAGCUGCCAUCGUUGUCAUCGGACUCCCGGACAAGUGGUUGGGGGUCGUGCGAGCCCUGUCAGGAUAUGCUUGCAGGAAUUCAGGAACGGAAGAAUCUAUUUUCCAGAGUAAACCUGGACUGGUGAUUCGAAUGGUAAUGGCGGUUCCAAAUGAAAGCAUUCUUGACUUGGAUCGGAACUAUAAUCGUUGAUGGAACGCAUUCAGAGUGGAAUGCCCAAAGGAAGAACAGUCAGCUGAAGGCGGAACAUGCAACUAUUGCCAAACAGCAAUAUUCAAGCUUCCCAGCAUCAAUCGAUUCAUAAUGUCACCAGGUGUACCACUAUCACCAUCAACAGCAGCAACAGUAGGCAUAACUCUGGCGGAAGGAGAAUAUUCAUCGUUCUGGGUCAUCUGGUAAAAUCGAUCACGACGAAACAGCUACCUUCAGUUAUGAUUGAUUUAAAAUUCUGGAAUAAAAUCCGAUGAACGAAAUGAAACCAGCAGCAGUGUUCAAUGGUCAUCAAACGCAGCAAGAAAUCCACUUCCAACUGAAUAGAUAAGUUCGCCAAUCGACAACAGGAGCCGAAAACCAUUCCAUCGGUACAGCGGGAACCUACCUUGGCAUUGUUUACUGGAACUGUUUCUGUAGGAUCCGAAACUGUAUUGUAUUUUCAAAAAUUUAGUGGUUUUCCCUGCUCGAAUGCUGCCUUGACUAUUUUGAGAAGUCCAGGUGAGAAAAGUACUCCGAUGAGUCUCAGAAGAGAAGCUUAUCAAUUUGAAACAAGCUGCUGGAAGAUUAGUUAUUCACUAAGGGUCUGAAUGAAUGACGAUAAUUUUUUUCAAUUGAUUUUUUUUUAUUUUAAAAUAUGUAAAUUAUUGUAUGAAUUUUCUGUGAACAAAUUAAAAAUAAAACAAUAGUUCAAUAAUCAAUUUUAUCACAAAAUGAAUGCUCUGCCUUUUUAUUUUUGAUGGAAAAAGAUAUUUUAAAGAUAACCUGUAGCGUGAGCAAUGCUUGACAAAAAAUUAUAAGAUAACGAUUACAUCUAUCUUUCUGGUGCUUUCAGAACAUUUUGCAUCUAGAAAAAAGCAAAAAAAUGAAUCGUUUAUUUACUUAACAACCCAUUCCCUGUAUCGUUAUUCGUGUCUAAACGAUUCCAUUUGAUGAAAAAACGAUUAGUCUAAUCGUUUAUUUAUAAUCCAAAAACUAUAAAGGUAAUCUUUUGGGUGUCUUGGGA